rnacentral:rRNA from 1 species
AAUAAGCGGAGGAAAAGAAACCAACAGGGAUUGCCCUAGUAACGGCGAGUGAAGCGGCAACAGCUCAAAUUUGAAAGCUGGCUCUCGGGCCCGCAUUGUAAUUUGCAGAGGAUGCUUCUGGCGACGCGCCUUCCGAGUUCCCUGGAACGGGACGCCAUAGAGGGUGAGAGCCCCGUCCGGUCGUGCGCCUAGCCUCUGUGAAGCUCCUUCGACGAGUCGAGUAGUUUGGGAAUGCUGCUCAAAAUGGGAGGUAUACGUCUUCUAAAGCUAAAUACCGGCCAGAGACCGAUAGCGCACAAGUAGAGUGAUCGAAAGAUGAAAAGCACUUUGAAAAGAGAGUUAAAAAGUACGUGAAAUUGUUGAAAGGGAAGCGCUCAUGACCAGACUUGGGCUGGCUCGAUCCUCCGGCGUUCUCGCCGGUGCACUCGGGCCGCUCAGGCCAGCAUCAGCUUCCGCCGGGGGAUAAAGGCUUCGGGAAUGUGGCUCCCUCGGGAGUGUUAUAGCCCGUUGUGCAAUACCCUGGUGGGGGCUGAGGUUCGCGCGUAUGCACGGAUGCUGGCGUAAUGGUUAUCAGCGACCCGUCUUGAAACACGGACCAAGGAGUCGUCUUCGUAUGCGAGUGUUCGGGUGUCAAACCCCUACGCGGAAUGAAAGUGAACGCUGGUGAGAGCUUCGGCGCAUCACCGACCGAUCCUGAUGUUCUCGGAUGGAUUUGAGUAAGAGCAUACGGGGCCGGACCCGAAAGAAGGUGAACUAUGCCUGUAUAGGGUGAAGCCAGAGGAAACUCUGGUGGAGGCUCGCAGCGGUUCUGACGUGCAAAUCGAUCGUCAAAUAUGGGCAUGGGGGGCGAAAGACUAAUCGAACCUUCUAGUAGCU